rnacentral:lncRNA from 1 species
AAGCUCAUAUAUCACCACUAUGUGUGCCCUGGAUACUAGACAUGAAGCCAUAGGAUUUCAUGUUUUCUCUUCUGGGUUUUGGGUCUUGCUUUUAUUCUAUGCUUUUUUUUUCUUUUGUAAGAAGGACCUGAAACCAGGAGAUUCUUUAUUGCAAAGGUACAGAAGCAGUCACAGUGGUGACAUUUACAGCAAUAAAUUAGGUGGUGGCUGUGAGACAGGGGCAGGGUGGGCACAGAUGAAGGUCCACAGCAUAUGAUCUCUUCUCAAUAAUUUAUAUUGGGAAAAAGUAGCACAAAAAUAAAUAUUGAAAUGAACUGCAAGUAUCAGGCAGCCAGGACAGACAGGGCCAUGCAGUGAACGUGUGUUCUGGCUGCCCUAGCAGGCAGGGCCCUGCCUUCUUUGGGAAGUCCAAGGCGCCAGACAGAAAACAAACCCACAUAACAAAGAGGUGCUUGUCUUUCUUCUUAAAAUUAAAAAAAAAAACUCCGUGUAUUAAAUUGUGACAAUAAAAUUUCAAGGGUCUGAAAAGAAAAGCAGAAGGUGCUGCUUCCUUCCCAGGCCCUGGACCAAGGCUCUGGGGAGCAAUGGUGGUUCCAUCCACCCUGGAGCCAAGGGCAGGGCACUUCCCACGCCCCAAGCUCAGCACCACAGGCCAGCAAUGGGCAGCAACCCAUGGCCAGCGGUCACCCGCCUCUGUGUCCUGUGAGAUGGGAACACGUAUCCCAGGACUGGACAGAACUUCCAAUUGCUAUGGCCUGCCUUGGGAGGCCUUGCACAGCACUGGCAGGGCCAGGCCUUCUCUAGAGCCCGCUGUGCCCGGCACCAUCUGCAGGCAGGAAGACCAAGGAGAGGCCUUGGGCAUCCUGGGCCUCUGUCCACGGCGAGCAGCCAACUUGCAGAAGCCAGGAAGGAGGAUGAUUCGCCCCACCCCACCCACCAUCCCCCGCAGCUCUGCUCUAACAAAAUCUACAGUAUCAAACUGGGAAAGAAAAAUAGUUACAAAAAAUCGGUAAGAUAAAAUGUGUAUAUUAUAUAUAUAUUUUUUUUUCUUCUCUCUCUUUAAAUAUUUCCCACCACGGCUAUGGUAUGUACAGCUUUUGUUUAACAAAAACAAAAGCUAUUCUAUUCUUUUCUAUUCCCCUAUACCCACCUAUUUGAACAGAGAUG